GACGAACGCUGGCGGCGUGCUUAACACAUGCAAGUCGAGCGGUAAGGCUCCUUCGGGAGUACACGAGCGGCGAACGGGUGAGUAACACGUGAGCAAUCUGCCCAUCACUUUGGGAUAACUCCGGGAAACCGGUGCUAAUACCGAAUACGACCACUUCAGGCAUCUGACGGUGGUGGAAAGUUCCGGCGGUGAUGGAUGAGCUCGCGGCCUAUCAGCUUGUUGGUGGGGUAAUGGCCUACCAAGGCUUCGACGGGUAGCCGGCCUGAGAGGGUGACCGGCCACACUGGGACUGAGACACGGCCCAGACUCCUACGGGAGGCAGUAGUGGGGAAUAUUGGACAAUGGGCGAAAGCCUGAUCCAGCAACGCCGCGUGAGGGAUGACGGCCUUCGGGUUGUAAACCUCUUUCAGCGCCGACGAAGCGAAAGUGACGGUAGGCGCAGAAGAAGCACCGGCCAACUACGUGCCAGCCGCCGCAGUAACAC
rnacentral:rRNA from 1 species